GGACGAACGCUGGCGGCGUGCCUAACACAUGCAAGUCGAGCGGAGUCGAUCGACGGAAGCCUUCGGGCGGAAGAUGGUUGACUUAGCGGCGGAUGGGUGAGUAACGCGUGGGCAACCUGCCUCGAAGACCGGGAUAACAGCCCGAAAGGGCUGCUAAUACCGGAUGUGGUCAAGGAUCCGCAUGGAUUUUUGAUUAAAGGGGAAACCCGUUUCGAGAUGGGCCCGCGUCCUAUCAGCUAGUUGGUGAGGUAAAAGCUCACCAAGGCGACGACGGGUAGCCGGCCUGAGAGGGUGACCGGCCACACUGGAACUGAGACACGGUCCAGACUCCUACGGGGGGCAGCAGUGGGGAAUCUUCCACAAUGGGCGAAAGCCUGAUGGAGCGACGCCGCGUGAGCGAAGAAGGCCUUCGGGUUGUAGAGCUCUGUCUGGAGGGACGAAGGAAGUGACGGUACCUCCGGAGGAAGCCACGGCUAACUACGUGCCAGCAGCCGCGGUAAUACGUAUGUCGCAAGCGUUAUCCGGAAUUAUUGGGCGUAAAGGGCAUCUAGGCGGUCAAUCAAGUCGAAGGUGAAAACUUGUGGCUCAACCAUAAGCUUGCCUACGAAACUGAUUAACUAGAGUACUGGAGAGGUGGACGGANNUACACGAGUAGAGGUGAAAUUCGUAGAUAUGUGUAGGAAUGCCGAUGAUGAAGAUAGUUCACUGGACAGAAACUGACGCUGAAGUGCGAAAGCUAGGGGAGCAAACAGGANNUAGAUACCCUGGUAGUCCUAGNNUGUAAACGAUGAUCACUGGGUGUGGGCAGGAAGACUGUCUGUGCCGAAGCUAACGCGAUAAGUGAUCCGCCUGGGGAGUACGACCGCAAGGUUGAAACUCAAAGGAAUUGACGGGGACCCGCACAAGCGGUGGAGCAUGUGGUUUAAUUCGACGCAACGCGAGGAACCUUACCAGAUCUUGACAUCCUCAGAAUCGAACAGAAGUGUUUGAGUGCCUUCGGGAACUGAGAGACAGGUGGUGCAUGGCUGUCGACAGCUCGUGUCGUGAGAUGUUGGGUUAAGUCCCGCAACGAGCGCAACCCCUAUCGUUAGUUACCAUCAUUAAGUUGGGGACUCUAGCGAGACUGCCUGCGAAGAGCAGGAGGAAGGUGGGGAUGACGUCAAGUCAUCAUGCCCCUUAUGAUCUGGGCUACACACGUGCUACAAUGGAUGGUACAAAGAGGAGCGAAAUGGUGACAUGGAGCAAAUCUCAAAAGCCAUUCCCAGUUCGGAUUGAAGUCUGCAACUCGACUUCAUGAAGUUGGAAUCGCUAGUAAUCGCAAAUCAGCAAUGUUGCGGUGAAUACGUUCUCGGGUCU
rnacentral:rRNA from 1 species